rnacentral:rRNA from 1 species
GAUGAACGCUGGCGGCGUGCCUAACACAUGCAAGUCGAACGGAAAGGCCCUGCUUUUGUGGGGUGAUCGAGUGGCGAACGCGUGAGUAACACGUGAGUAACCUGCCCUUGAUUUUCGGAUAACUUCAGGAAACUGGGGUUACUACCGGAUAGGAGACCCUGCAGCAUGGAGGGGGUUGGAUAGUUGCGGCGGUUGGGGAUGGACUCGCGGCUUAUGGGCUUGUUGGUGGGGUAGUGGCUUACCAAGGCAUUGACUGGUAGGCGGCCUGGGAGGGUGACCGGCGACAAUGGUACUGAGAGAGGGACCAGAGUCGUACGGUAGACAACAGUCGGGAAUAUGGCACAAUGGGAGGGAGCCGGAUACAGAGACGCUGCGGUCGUAAUGACGGCUUGCUGGUUGUAAAACGCAUUCGCCUGUGACGAAGCGUGUGUGACGGUAAUGAAUAAAGAAGCACCGGCUAACUACGUG